UGGGGAAUAUUGCACAAUGGGCGCAAGCCUGAUGCAGCCAUGCCGCGUGUAUGAAGAAGGCCUUCGGGUUGUAAAGUACUUUCAGCGGGGAGGAAGGGAGUAAAGUUAAUACCUUUGCUCAUUGACGUUACCCGCAGAAGAAGCACCGGCUAACUCCGUGCCAGCAGCCGCGGUAAUACGGAGGGUGCAAGCGUUAAUCGGAAUUACUGGGCGUAAAGCGCACGCAGGCGGUUUGUUAAGUCGGAUGUGAAAUCCCCGGGCUCAACCUGGGAACUGCAUUCGAAACUGGCAGGCUAGAGUCUUGUAGAGGGGGGUAGAAUUCCAGGUGUAGCGGUGAAAUGCGUAGAGAUCUGGAGGAAUACCGGUGGCGAAGGCGGCCCCCUGGACAAAGACAGACGCUCAGGUGCGAAAGCGUGGGGAGCAAACAGG
rnacentral:rRNA from 1 species